rnacentral:rRNA from 1 species
UAGGGAAUAUUGGACAAUGGGCGAAAGCCUGAUCCAGCCAUGCCGCGUGAGUGACGAAGGCCUUAGGGUUGUAAAACUCUUUCGUCGGGGACGAUAAUGACGGUACCCGAAGAAGAAGCUCCGGCUAACUUCGUGCCAGCAGCCGCGGUAAUACGAAGGGAGCUAGCGUUGUUCGGAAUCACUGGGCGUAAAGCGCACGUAGGCGGAUAGUUAAGUCAGGGGUGAAAUCCUGGGGCUCAACCCCAGAAUUGCCUUUGAUACUGGCUGUCUCGAGGUCGAGAGAGGUUGGUGGAAUUCCUAGUGUAGAGGUGAAAUUCGUAGAUAUUAGGAAGAACACCAGUGGCGAAGGCGGCCAACUGGCUCGAUACUGACGCUGAGGUGCGAAAGCGUGGGGAGCAAACAGGAUUAGAUACCCCCGUAGUCCCUGAGCGGGCUGGCAAGGCGCAU